rnacentral:rRNA from 1 species
UACGGAGUUACAAAGGAACGAGGUAGAUGAAGAGGUCUGGAAAGGCCCGCCAUAGGAGGUAACAGCCCUGUAGUCAAAACUUCGUUCUCUCCAGAGUGGAUCCUGAGUACGGCGGAACACGUGAAAUUCCGUCGGAAUCCGGGAGGACCAUCUCCCAAGGCUAAAUACUCCCUAGUGACCGAUAGUGAACCAGUACCGUGAGGGAAAGGUGAAAAGCACCCCGGAAGGGGAGUGAAAGAGAUCCUGAAACCGUGUGCCUACAAGUAGUCAGAGCCCGUUAACGGGUGAUGGCGUGCCUUUUGUAGAAUGAACCGGCGAGUUACGAUCCCGUGCAAGGUUAAGCAGAAGAUGCGGAGCCGCAGCGAAAGCGAGUCUGAAUAGGGCGCAUGAGUACGUGGUCGUAGACCCGAAACCAGGUGAUCUACCCAUGUCCAGGGUGAAGUUCAGGUAACACUGAAUGGAGGCCCGAACCCACGCACGUUGAAAAGUGCGGGGAUGAGGUGUGGGUAGGGGUGAAAUGCCAAUCGAACCUGGAGAUAGCUGGUUCUCUCCGAAAUAGCUUUAGGGCUAGCCUCAAGGUAAGAGUCUUGGAGGUAGAGCACUGAUUGGACUAGGGGCCCCUACCGGGUUACCGAAUUCAGUCAAACUCCGAAUGCCAAUGACUUAUCCUUGGGAGUCAGACUGCGAGUGAUAAGAUCCGUAGUCGAAAGGGAAACAGCCCAGACCGCCAGCUAAGGUCCCAAAGUAUACGUUAAGUGGAAAAGGAUGUGGAGUUGCUUAGACAACCAGGAUGUUGGCUUAGAAGCAGCCACCAUUUAAAGAGUGCGUAAUAGCUCACUGGUCGAGUGACUCUGCGCCGAAAAUGUACCGGGGCUAAACGUAUCACCGAAGCUGCGGACUGUUCUUCGAACAGUGGUAGGAGAGCGUUCUAAGGGCUGUGAAGCCAGACCGGAAGGACUGGUGGAGCGCUUAGAAGUGAGAAUGCCGGUAUGAGUAGCGAAAGAGGGGUGAGAAUCCCCUCCACCGAAUGCCUAAGGUUUCCUGAGGAAGGCUCGUCCGCUCAGGGUAAGUCGGGACCUAAGCCGAGGCCGAAAGGCGUAGGCGAUGGACAACAGGUUGAUAUUCCUGUACCACCUCCUCACCAUUUGAGCAAUGGGGGGACGCAGGAGGAUAGGGUAAGCGCGGUAUUGGAUAUCCGCGUCCAAGCAGUUAGGCUGGGAAAUAGGCAAAUCCGUUUCCCAUAAGGCU